GCCCGGACACAUUCCGAACCCGGAAGCUAAGACUCGCAGCGCCGAUGGUACUGCAGGGGCGACCCUGUGGGAGAGUAGGACACCGCCGGAC
rnacentral:rRNA from 1 species